CAGUCGAACGGAACUGUUUUGAAAGAUUUCUUCGGAAUGAAUUUGAUUUACUUUAGUGGCGGACGGGUGAGUAACGCGUGAGUAACCUGCCUUCAAGAGGGGGAUAACAUUCUGAAAAGAAUGCUAAUACCGCAUGACAUAUCGGAACCACAUGGUUCUGAUAUCAAAGAUUUUAUCGCUUGAAGAUGGACUCGCGUCCGAUUAGUUAGUUGGUGAGGUAACGGCCCACCAAGUCGACGAUCAGUAGCCGGACUGAGAGGUUGAACGGCCACAUUGGGACUGAGACACGGCCCAGACUCCUACGGGAGGCAGCAGUGGGGGAUAUUGCGCAAUGGGGGCAACCCUGACGCAGCAACGCCGCGUGAAGGAUGAAGGUUUUCGGAUUGUAAACUUCUUUUAUUAAGGACGAAAAUUGACGGUACUUAAUGAAUAAGCUCCGGCUAACUACGUGCCAGCAGCCGCGGUAAUACGUAGGGAGCAAGCGUUGUCCGGAUUUACUGGGUGUAAAGGGUGCGUAGGCGGCUUUGCAAGUCAGAUGUGAAAUCUAUGGGCUCAACCCAUAAACUGCAUUUGAAACUGUAGAGCUUGAGUGAAGUAGAGGCAGGCGGAAUUCCCCGUGUAGCGGUGAAAUGCGUAGAGAUGGGGAGGAACACCAGUGGCGAAGGCGGCCUGCUGGGCUUUAACUGACGCUGAGGCACGAAAGCGUGGGUAGCAAACAGGAUUAGAUACCCUGGUAGUCCACGCUGUAAACGAUGAUUACUAGGUGUGGGGGGUCUGACCCCU
rnacentral:rRNA from 1 species